rnacentral:rRNA from 1 species
GCGUGCCUACAACAUAGCAUUUAUGCACCAAAUCCCAUUAGAACUCCGCAGUUAAGCAUGCUCAAGCUAGAGUAGUAUUGGGAUGGGUGAUCGCCCGAGAAGUCCUAGUGUUUUACAUGCC